rnacentral:rRNA from 1 species
GAUGAACGCUAGCGGCAGGCCUAAUACAUGCAAGUCGAACGAGAUUAGUAGCAAUACUAUGAAAGUGGCGCACGGGUGCGUAACACGUAUGCAAUCUACCUUUAAUUGGAGAAUAGCCUCGAGAAAUCGGGAUUAAUACUCCAUAACAUUAUGAAGUGGCAUCACUUUAUAAUUAAACCUCCGGGGAUUAAAGAUGAGCAUGCGCAACAUUAGCUAGUUGGUAAGGUAAUGGCUUACCAAGGCUACGAUGUUUAGGGGGUCUGAGAGGAUGAUCCCCCACACUGGUACUGAGACACGGACCAGACUCCUACGGGAGGCAGCAGUAGGGAAUAUUGGGCAAUGGAGGCAACUCUGACCCAGCCAUGCCGCGUGCAGGAUGACGGCCCUCUGGGUUGUAAACUGCUUUUUAUACGGGAAGAAAAAAUACUACGUGUAGUACAUUGACGGUACCGUAAGAAUAAGGAUCGGCUAACUCCGUGCCAGCAGCCGCGGUAA